UACGUAGGGGGCAAGCGUUGUCCGGAUUUAUUGGGCGUAAAGAGCUCGUAGGCGGCUUGUCGCGUCGUUCGUGAAAACCUGCAGCUCAACUGCAGGCUUGCGGUCGAUACGGGCAGGCUAGAGUUCGGUAGGGGAGACUGGAAUUCCCGGUGUAGUGGUGAAAUGCGUAGAUAUCGGGAGGAACACCAGUGGCGAAGGCGACUAUCUGGGGUGCAACGUGACGCUGAGGCGCGAAGGCUAGGGUAGCAAACGAG
rnacentral:rRNA from 1 species